GGAGUUAAUGAGAAGCUUGCUUCUCUGAGACUUAGCGGCGGACGGGUGAGUAACACGUAGGCAACCUGCCCAUAAGACUGGGAUAACUACCGGAAACGGUAGCUAAUACCGGAUAGGUUCUUCUCUCGCAUGAGAGAAGAAAGAAAGACGGAGCAAUCUGUCACUUAUGGAUGGGCCUGCGGCGCAUUAGCUAGUUGGUGGGGUAAAGGCCUACCAAGGCGACGAUGCGUAGCCGACCUGAGAGGGUGAUCGGCCACACUGGGACUGAGACACGGCCCAGACUCCUACGGGAGGCAGCAGUAGGGAAUCUUCCGCAAUGGACGAAAGUCUGACGGAGCAACGCCGCGUGAGUGAUGAAGGUUUUCGGAUCGUAAAGCUCUGUUGCCAGGGAAGAACGUCCUUGAGAGUAACUGCUCAAGGAGUGACGGUACCUGAGAAGAAAGCCCCGGCUAACUACGUGCCAGCAGCCGCGGUAAUACGUAGGGGGCAAGCGUUGUCCGGAAUUAUUGGGCGUAAAGCGCGCGCAGGCGGUUAUUUAAGUUGGGUGUUUAAUCCCGGGGCUCAACCUCGGGUCGCACCCAAAACUGGGUAACUUGAGUACAGAAGAGGAAAGUGGAAUUCCACGUGUAGCGGUGAAAUGCGUAGAGAUGUGGAGGAACACCAGUGGCGAAGGCGACUUUCUGGGCUGUAACUGACGCUGA
rnacentral:rRNA from 1 species